UUAAAUAUAAUGUGCAAAUCUAUUCAUUUGCAUUAUCUUGAAGACCAUUACUGAUUGUUGUCAGGAAAUUGCUUUUGGGUCCUUCUGGCUGAAAAGCUAAUCCAUGAGUUGUCAUGCAUGGGUUCUGCCUCACAGCAUCUUGCUGUUAGAAUGAAAAUCAUCAAGAAGCUAAGUAACUAUUACUUUGUCUAGAACGAAAGGCUUUAGUGAGUCUGAGCAUUUAAAUAAGUUAUUAUUAUGCUUUUCUUCCCGCACUAAAUCUUUGUGCUUCUCAACUCCAAACUACAGUGAGCCCCAAGCCAUGUGCUACAUUGAAACAUCCAACUUAGAUGGUGAAACGAACUUGAAAAUUAGACAGGGCUUACCAGCAACAUCAGAUAUCAAAGACAUUGACAGUUUGAUGAGGAUUUCUGGCAGAAUUGAGUGUGAAAGUCCAAACAGACAUCUCUACGAUUUUGUUGGAAACAUAAGGCUUGAUGGACAUGGCACCGUUCCACUGGGAGCAGAUCAGAUUCUUCUUCGAGGAGCUCAGUUGAG
rnacentral:sRNA from 1 species